GACGAACGCUGGCGGCGUGCUUAACACAUGCAAGUCGAACGGAAAGGCCCUGCUUUUGUGGGGUGCUCGAGUGGCGAACGGGUGAGUAACACGUGAGUAACCUGCCCUUGACUUUGUGAUAACUUCAGGAAACUGGGGCUAAUACCGGAUAGGAGCUCCUGCUGCAUGGUGGGGGUUGGAAAGUUUCGGCGGUUGGGGAUGGACUCGCGGCUUAUCAGCUUGUUUGUGUGGUAGUGGCUUACCAAGGCUUUGACGGGUAGCCGGCCUGAGAGGGUGACCGGCCACAUUGGGACUGAGGUACGGCCCAGACUCCUACGGGAGGCAACAGGGGGGAAUAUUGCACAAUGGGCGGAAGCCUGAUGCAGCGACGCCGCGUGCGGGAUGACGGCCUUCGGGUUGUAAACCGCUUUCGACUGUGACGAAGCGUGAGUGACGGUAAUGGGUAAAGAAGCACCGGCUAACUACGUG
rnacentral:rRNA from 1 species